rnacentral:tRNA from 1 species
GCCCGGGUGGUGGAACUGGUAGACACAAGGGACUUAAAAUCCCUCGGCGGAAACGCUGUGCGGGUUCAAGUCCCGCCUCGGGCACCA